GACGAACGCUGGCGGCGUGCUUAACACAUGCAAGUCGAACGGAAAGGCCCUGCUUGCAGGGUACUCGAGUGGCGAACGGGUGAGUAACACGUGGGUGAUCUGCCCUGCACUUCGGGAUAAGCCUGGGAAACUGGGUCUAAUACCGGAUAGGAGCCAUUUUUAGUGUGAUGGUUGGAAAGUUUUUUGGGUGUAGGAUGAGCUCGCGGCCUAUCAGCUUGUUGGUGGGGUAAUGGCCUACCAAGGCGGCGGCGGGUAGCCGGCCUGCGGGGGUGGACGGCCACAAUGGGACUGAGAUACGGCCCAGACUCCUACGGGAGGCAGCAGUGGGGAAUAUUGCACAAUGGGCGCAAGCCUGAUGCAGCGACGCCGCGUGGGGGAUGACGGCCUUCGGGUUGGAAACUCCUUUCGCUAGGGACGAAGCUUUUUGUGACGGUACCUAGAGAAGAAGCACCGGCUAACUACGUG
rnacentral:rRNA from 1 species